rnacentral:rRNA from 1 species
UAGGGAAUCUUCCACAAUGGACGCAAGUCUGAUGGAGCAACGCCGCGUGAGUGAAGAAGGUUUUCGGAUCGUAAAGCUCUGUUGUUGGUGAAGAAGGAUAGAGGCAGUAACUGGUCUUUAUUUGACGGUAAUCAACCAGAAAGUCACGGCUAACUACGUGCCAGCAGCCGCGGUAAUACGUAGGUGGCAAGCGUUGUCCGGAUUUAUUGGGCGUAAAGCGAGCGCAGGCGGAAUGAUAAGUCUGAUGUGAAAGCCCACGGCUCAACCGUGGAACUGCAUCGGAAACUGUCAUUCUUGAGUGCAGAAGAGGAGAGUGGAAUUCCAUGUGUAGCGGUGGAAUGCGUAGAUAUAUGGAAGACCACCAGUGGCGAAGGCGGCUCUCUGGUCCGCAACUGACGCUGAGGCUCGAAAGCAGGGGUAGCGAACAGG